GGACCUAAUGCCACCACUUACCAUCAACUAAUCAUGUCAGUGCGGAGCUAUUCAUAGCCCUCCGCAUUGUUACAAAAUUUGGGAGGCGUGGGGCGAUGCGGUACAGAGCUCAAUUUGGCUUCUGCAUGCCUCCAGAGGUUCCGCUAUUGCAUCACACCCUCCAUACAGAGCAUUCGACCACGUUUUCAGAUCAAGCAUAAAUUGGCUUCAAGAAGAAGGGAGCAGCUGCAGACCAGAAGCCUACAGCCAAUGCAGCACUGGUCCACACCUGUUCUGUCUGUCGGACAAAUGAUGACCAUGAUUUGAAUGCUGCAACUGAGAAUGUAUGACGUUGAGGGAUACAUGCUGAGACCCCGAGUAUGACUGGACUUCGGCCAGAUAUUUGUGACAACGACAUAAAAGGGGUCUAAUUCCUAAAAUGUAAAAGCAGAAGAAUCUGUAUGCUCUCGGAUACAAUUAACAGUUCAUAUGGUGCUCUUCGAUGUCCCAGGUUUGUGGCAGGAAUAAAUCAUUUAAUCUUUACUUCAAGUCAGAUGUUUAUAUGUUAUGUUUAAAAGGCGUAUGCAUUGUUACUAUUUUGAUUUAUUUAAAGCAAUGUAAUUCCUUUAAUCUGUAAUCUUUUUAUCUCUUUCUUUCUUUUUCUCUGAGGACCUGAGCCCUAGGACCAUGCCUCAGGACUACCUGGCCUGAUGACUCCUUGCUGUCCCCAGUCCACCUGGUCAUGCUGCUGCUCCAGUUUCAACUGUUCUGCCUGCGGCUAUGGAACUCUGACAAGUUCACCGGAUGUACUACCUGUCCCAGACCUGCUGUUUUCAACUCUCUAAAGACAGCAGGAGCGGUAGAGAUACUCUGAAUGAUCGGCUAUGAAAAGCCAACUGACAUUUACUCCUGAGGUGCUGACCUGUUGCACCCUCUACAACCACUGUGAUUAUUAUUAUUUGACCCCGCUGGUCAUCUAUGAACAUUUGAACAUCUUGGCCAUGUUCUGUUAUAAUCUCCACCUGGCACAGCCAGAAAAGGACUGGCCACCCCUCAUAGCCUGGUUCCUCUCUAGGUUUCUUCCAAGGUUCUGGCCUUUCUAUGGAGUUUUUCCUAGCCACUGUGCUUCUACACCUGCAUUUCUUGCUGUUUGGGGUUUUAGGCUGGGUUUCUGUUCAACACUUUGUGACAUCAGCUGAUGUAAGAAGGGC
rnacentral:lncRNA from 1 species